UGUGACGUCACUGAUGGACGCCGGUUCCGUGUUCUCGCACCACGUGGCACGCGCUGUAUGUAUAUACAAGUGCCCAACUCAGGCGCCUCCUCUUCCGUUCACACUGCAUCCGAGGCGGCAGCUGACGGCACCGUGGUUGUCUGUGAUUUUGAGAAACAGAAGCGAUGCCUAUGUACAAACUCCUUGCACACCUCGCCGUCACGAUGCUGUUGACACAACUCCUUACAGCCACCCCGACUUCACGUAAUCUCGUCGCAGAUAAUGCAAAGUUUGACCUGGCUCAGAACAUUCCCAAGUUAAAGUUGUUUCAAAAUGGCGGCGCCCUGCUGAACCGGAAACGACGAACAUAUCGCCACCACAACAACUACCGCCAUUACUACUGCAGAAAAUGUCGGUGUUGUGGACUAAAA